rnacentral:rRNA from 1 species
AUUGAACGCUGGCGGCAGGCCUAACACAUGCAAGUCGAACGGUAAAGGAAAACGCCUGGUGUUUCGGUUAAGGGUUGCCGGCGGGUUAGUUAUUUCCUGGAAAAUGCCCGGUGGGGGGGGUAUAUCUAUUGAAACGGUAGCCUAUACCCCCUUACCUUCCCACACCAAAAGAGGGGGACCCUGGGUCUUCUGCCAUUCGAUGCUGCCAGGAUGGGUUUGGCUUUUUGGUGGGGUAACGCCACACCAAGGGGACGUUCCCAACCUGGCCUGGGGGGUUAACCGGCCACACUGGAACUGAGACACGGUCCAGACUCCUAAGGGAGGCAGCAGUGGGGAAUAUUGCACAAUGGGCGCAAGCCUGAUGCAGCCAUGCCGCGUGUAUGAAGAAGGCCUUCGGGUUGUAAAGUACUUUCAGCGGGGAGGAAGGGAGUAAAGUUAAUACCUUGGCUCACUGACGUUACCCGCAGAAGAAGCACCGGCUAACUCCGUG